rnacentral:rRNA from 1 species
GAAAGCGUAGGGAGCAAAUAGGAUUAGAUACCCUAGUAGUCUACGCCGUAAACGAUGAGUACUAAGUGUCGGACUAAGUUCGGUGCUGCAGCUAACGCAUUAAGUACUCCGCCUGAGUAGUAUGCUCGCAAGAGUGAAACUCAAAGGAAUNGACGGGGACCCGCACAAGCGGUGGAGCAUGUGGUUUAAUUCGAAGCAACGCGAAGAACCUUACCAAGGCUUGACAUCCAGUGCAAAGCUGUAGAAAUACA